rnacentral:lncRNA from 1 species
GGGUGGAAUCAAUUGCAAUGGAUAUGAAAGAAAAGAAACUAACUGUGAUCGGAGAUAUAGAUCCGAUAAAAAUAGUGGCUAAGCUGAGGAAGAUCUGUCACACUGAGAUAUUGACAGUUGGACCUGCCAAAGAACCGGAAAAGAAAAAAGAAGAGCCAAAGAAAGAUGAGGGUAAAAAAGAAGAGCCAAAGAAAGAUGAGGGUAAAAAAGAAGAGGCAAAGAAAGAUGAUGGUAAAAAGAAAGAAGAAGCUGUGAAAGCUGCUGUAGUGGCAUACCCUGGUUUUCAACAGAGCUAUUACGUUCCACAGCAAAUGUAUCCAGGCUAUUAUCAGCAGCAAAAUGCUUAUAGUUAUCAGCAGCAGUCUUCAGUGCCAUCACACUAUUAUCAUAAUCUCGCGAGUGUGGAAGAAGAUCCUAAUUCCUGUGUUAUUUGUUAAUUCAUUUUGAUUAAACCUAACCAAACCAAACGUAUCAGUAUAUCUUAGUUUGAGUAGUGUCCAAACGUAUCAGUAUAUUCCGCUUAGAAAGGCCUGAGGAGGGUAAAAUGUAGGCAGACCAUGCCCAUGUUCUGAAAGAGCAGGGAGGCUCGUCUUGAUUGUUUCAUAUUAAUCGAAUUUAUUCAUUUUUGUGAUGAAAUAAAAGUUCAGAAGCUGAGAUUAGUGUAACUCAUUCGGAAUUCUGACAUAUAAACUCUGUGAAAAAAGGGAUCAGGAACUGAUGUGUAAUAUUAGGUACCAUCAACAUUAUUAUAACAUACAUCACAGCUCAAAAGUAAGCAAAUUAAAUUGAUGUUAGAGCCUAAUAACCAGGAAGAUCAAUGAACUUAUAGCACGGAGCUCAUACAAAUGUGACAGUAGCUCAGCAUGUUCAGUGUCUUAUCAGUUAUCAAUGAAUGGUCUUAUGGACACGGUGCAUUGAUCUUGUUAGAUAUGAUGUCGGGUUCAUGGAAAAUAUAUGUUGCAGCAUAUGUUCGGUGAUAAUAAGUUCAGAAAGAAGAAAAGCCACAUGUUUUUUACUCAGCGGGGGAAGAUGAUCUGACCAGAGGCGGAUCUUAGAAGGGGCAAGAGGGGGCAACUGACCCCCUUAAAUUUUAUUUUUUUUAAUAUUAUACAUAUUUUUAGGUUGUAAAAUUGAGCGGGGGAAGAUGAUCUGACCAGAGGCGGAUCUUAGAAGGGGCAAGAGGGGGCAACUGACCCCCUUAAAUUUUAUUUUUUUUAAUAUUAUACAUAUUUUUAGGUUGUAAAAUUGAAAUUGACCCCCUUAAUUUUUUCGUGACCCUCUUAAUUUUUUUUACAAAAAAAUUGAUCUCCCUUAACUUUAUAGUCAGAUCCGCCACUGGAUCUGACCCCAUAAGUCAUAACCACAUGUAUUCGGAAAUUUAAUGGGUAGAAAAAAGUUAAUACAUCUUGAUCAUUGGUUGGGCCAAUUGCUGACGUGGACAUCCACAUGGCACGGUCUGUAUGCUGACAUGGGAAAAUUGACAGACUAUUGUGCUCAAACAUUUGAGUAUGAACAAGCUAAAGUAACAAAUUGUCUGGAAGGGCUUAACAGCCCCGGGUCAUAGGGGUCGUUUGGCCAAGCUUAAGAAAAACUGAUUUUUUGCUUAAAGUAAAGAAGUGGAGUAGAAGUGAGAAGUAAAUAAGCUAAUAAAGUGUUUGGAAAAGAAGCAGAAGCUGUGAGAGAGAAGCUAGCAUUUUCAGCUUCUUAAAAGUGCUUCUCCUUCUUUACACAAACGGGUCAAUAAAAGCAGAAGUAAGAAGCAGGAACUGAUUACGUUUCCCAAAUAGGCCCAUAGUUUGAAUUUCUUCGGGAGGCCCCUAAGGUCAUAGGUUGAAUUCCACUGGGAGGCACGAAAAUAAGUGGAUGGUCAUGCUCUACGCGACAAGUGUGCUAGCAGUUUUCUGAAUUAGUCGAGGUGCACGAAAACUGGUCCGGACACCGGAUAACAAAAAAAAGUCUCGGAAACAAAAAGAAAGAAAUAUGCGUUUUGUUAUAACGCAAAUUCUAAAAUCCUAAAAUGAGUGUCUAAAUUACGGAUAAACAAUAUGGACUCUUCGUUCAAAUAAAAAAAAAAAAACAAGUGUUGUAUCUUUAGCCAUAAUAUACUAGUUAAGGUAGGAAGAUUGACAGACUAUUGUUCUCAAACUUCAAAGAUUGAGUAUGAACAAGCUAAAGUAACAAAUUGUACCGAAGGGCUUAACACCCCAAGGUCAGAGUUUGAAUUUCUUCGAGAGGCCCCUAAGGUCAUAAGUUGAAUUCCCCUAGGAGGCACGAAAAUAAGUAGAUGGUCAUGCUCUACUGGUACGAGUGUGUUAACAGUUCAGUUGCACGAAAGCUGGUCCGGACACCAGAUAACAAAAAAAAGUCUCAAAAACAAAAAGAAACAAGUACGCGGUUUUUUGUAACGCAAAUUUUAAAAUCUUAAAAUGAGUGUCUAAAUUACGGAUAAACAAUAUGGACUCUUCGUUCACAUAAAAAAGCAAGUGUUGUAUCUUUAGCCAUAAAAUAUCACAAAAGAUUGUCUGUACUUUGUCAUUGUUUAAGCCUUGUACGUUCCAUUAUUUUGCGACUUCUUAGAAGAAGAGUGAAGGGCAACAAAAUUGACCAUCAUGGCAAGUGGCAACUCACAAGAGGAGAAAGACACUCCACUGCAAGGCCCAGACGUCAUCGUUCCAAUGUUCUCCGACGUCGUUUUCUUACUUAAAUAACGCCAAUAAUACAUCAAACCUCCACCUUUCUGCACUUGGGUGGAAAAUUCCAUUUUCUUGUCAUACAAAAUAAUUGACUAUCUACAUCAGUUGACUAUCUUGACUCUUCCUAUCUACCUUGUAUUAUAAAAACCCCAUUUAGAUUCUUCACAUUUCAUCAAGUUAUUUAAGCUUCUCCUCACUCUUCUCCAAGUGUCUGCUGCCUGAGUAUUAGAAUAUUCAUUUUCUUCACUUUGAAAUUUUGCUAGAAUUUGUAGCACUCAAAUCAAAUCUCACUACUUCACCAACAAUAACAUGAAGGUUAGUGUCUGCUUUUGGUUGUGCUUAAGUUUUGUUCAACAUGCUACAUUUUUUAUUAUUUUAAAUCGCGGUUUAAUGAAUUUAAUCUUUGUUAAUAUUGCAGAAGGUUGUUAUGAAAAUUGAAUUGCAUGAUGAGAAAGUGAAGCAAAAAGCCAUGAAACUUGUUUCUGGCCUCAAUGGUAAGUACCACGUACCACUACCAGUAUGUCUCACUCGGAAGUAGAGUCUGAGCAAUAUAAGAUUGCCCUGCUAAAAAGCUAAUGUUAUUUUUGUUUGUUGAAAUUUCAGGGGUGGAAUCAAUUGCAAUGGAAAUGAAAGACAAGAAACUAACUGUGAUCGGAGAUAUUGAUCCAAUAAAAAUAGCGGCCAAACUCAGGAAGCUCUGUCACACGGAGAUAUUGACAGUUGGACCUGCCAAAGAACCCGAGAAGAAGAAAGAAGAGCCAAAGAAAGACGACGGUAAAAAAGAAGAGGCAAAGAAAGAUGACGGUAAAAAGAAAGAAGAAGCUGUAAAAGCUGCUGUAGUGGCAUACCCUGGUUUUCAACAGGGUUAUUAUGCUCCCCAGCAAAUGUACCCAGCCUAUUAUCAGCAGCAGCCUUCAGUGCCAACACACUAUUACCAUAAUCUCGCAAGAGUGGAAGAAGAUCCUAAUUCUUGCGUUAUUUGUUAAUUCAUCUCCAGUAUUUCAUAUCAAUUCAAUUUAUUCAUUUUUGUAAAAUGCUGAAGUUCAGAAGGUGAAAUUUCACGUAUGGGAAAAUAUUGUUUGUCGUUAAAAAUCAUUCGCGGAUUUAACAUAUAAACUCUGUGAUCAGGUGCUGAUGUGUGAUAUUAGAUGCCAUCAACAUUGUUCAACAUAAAUCACAAUUCAGAUUACAACUUGAUUAACCAGGAAUCUCAACGAAUUUCUGGAAUGGAGAUCAUACGAAUACAAUAGGAGUCUCUCGUGCAAAUGCCAAACUUCUUGUUCAGUAUCUUAUCCGCACCAGUGAACGGUCUUAUAGUCAUGCUGCAUUGAUGUUGUUAGUAGAAUUAGGUUCACAGCAGACGUAUGUUGCAGUACGAUUUUACAGAUAAUAAGCUCAAAAAGAAGAAAACCCUGCUUAAUUCUUACAAAAUUGGUUGGAUUAAGGCCAAAAUUCGGUAGGAAUGAUCAUUUCCUGUGCCUCAAUCGUUCAUAUUUCAGUGAUCCGAAAACUAUUACUUUGACAAGAUUAUUUCAUCAUCCGUUUUAACCUGAAUAGAAUUUUGAGACUUAAAAUUUCGGAUGGUUAGAUCUAAUUAUACUGUCAGAUCGAUUUUUGUCAUUUAUAAGAUGAAUUUCGGGGCCGUUUGGGUGAGCUUAAAAUAAGUGCUUCUUGCUUAAAAUAAAAAAAUGGAAUAGAAGUUAGAAGUAAGUUAAGACUUAUAAGUGAUUAAAGUGUUUGGGAAAGAAGUAGAAAUCCUGAAACAAAAGCUAACAUUCCUAGCUUUUUAUAAGUGAUUCUUGACUUUUUACACAAGCGGUACGAAUAAGUGCUUAUAAUUUAUAAACCAGAAGCCGAGCUUUUAAGCUCUAAACAAACACCACCGAAAUAUACAUGCACUCUAAACCGUCAUAAACAAACAAACUAUUUUAGUUUGUCAAAAUGCAGGACUUACAAGUACACUAUUUUGCUGCUUCUUAGAAAUAGCGGGUAGGGUAACAAAAUUGAAAAUGACCAUCAUGACAACUCACAAGAGGAGAGGCACCAAACGCACCGGUCUUCCUCAUAUCCGACGUCGCUUCCCAACUUUAAUGUCAAUAAUUCAUUAGACCUGUGCUUCAAUGCGCUGCAUUUUUUAUUUUUUUUAAUCGCGAUUUAGUGAUUUUCAUCUCUGUUAAUUUUGCAGAAGGUUGUGAUGAAAAUCAAAUUGCAUGAUGAGAAAGUGAAGCAAAAAGCCAUGAAAAUUGUUUCCGGCCUAAAUGGUAAGCACGCUUACCACAUACAACCUAAAGUUGUAUUAUGUCUCACUCGGAAGUAAGGUCUAGCUUGUCUGUGCGUCGCUGAAAAGCUAAUGUUAUUUUUGUUUGUUGAAAUUUCAGGGGUGGAAUCAAUUGCAAUGGAUAUGAAAGACAAGAAAUUAACUGUGAUCGGUGAUAUAGAUCCGAUAAAAAAUAGUGGCUAAGCUGAGGAAGAUCUGUCACACUGAGAUAUUGACAGUUGGACCUGCCAAAGAACCGGAGAAGAAGAAAGAAGAGCCAAAGAAAGAUGACGGUAAAAAAGAAGAGCCAAAGAAAGAUGAUGGUAAAAAAGAAGAGGCAAAGAAAGAUGAUGGUAAAAAGAAAGAAGAAGCUGUGAAAGCUGCUGUAGUGGCACACCCUGGUUUUCAACAGGGCUAUUACGUUCCACAGCAAAUGUAUCCAGGCUAUUAUCAGCAGCAACAUGCUUAUAGUUAUCAGCAGCAGUCUUCAGUGCCAUCACACUAUUAUCAUAAUCUCGUGAGCGUGGAAGAAGAUCCUAAUUCCUGUGUUAUAUGUUAAUUCAUUUUGAUUAAACCUAACCAAACCAAACGUAUCAGUAUAUCCCGGUUUGAUCCCGAUUUGAGUAGUGUCCAAACGUAUCUGAGGAGGAUAAAAUGUACACAGACCAUGCCCCUGUUCUGAAAGAGCUGGGAGGCUCGUCUUGAUUGUUUCAUAUUAAUUGAAUUUAUUCAUUUUUGUGAUGAAAUAAAAGUUCAGAAGUUGAGAUUAGUGUACUCAUUCGCAAUUCUGCCAUAUAAACUCCGCGAAAAAAGGGGACAGGAACUGAAGUGUAAUAUUAGGUACCAUCAACAUUAUUUUAACAUACAUCACAGCUCAAAAGUAAGCAAAUUAAAUUGAUGUUAGAGCCUAAUUAACCAGGAAGAUCAAUGAACUUAUAGCACGGAGCUCAUACAAAUGUGACAGGAGCUCAGCAUGUUCAGUGCAUUGAUCUUGUUAGAUAUGAUGUCGGGUUCAUGGAAAAUAUAUGUUGCAGCAUAUGUUCGGUGAUAAUAAUUUCAGAAAGAAGAAAAGCCACAUGUUUUUUACUCAACGGGGUAGAUGAUCUGACCCCACAACCACAUGUAUUUAAUUUAAGUGAUCCGGAAAUUAAAUGGGUAGAAAAUGACACAUGUUGAUCAUUGGUGGGGCUCAAUGCUGACGUGGACAUCCACAUGGCACAAUACCGUAUGCUAACAUGGGAUCCAGACAUGGAGCUGAAUCCCAACAUUGACACGGUGUCAAGUGCCAUGUUGAAAUUUAGUUGAGGUAGGAAAAUUGACAGACUAUUGAUUUGAGUAUGAACAAGCUAAAUUAACAAAUUGUCCGGAAGAGCUUAACACCCCAAGGUCAUAGGUUAAAUUUCACUGGGAGGCCCUCAAAGUCGUAGGCUGAAUUCCACUAAAAGGCGGAAGGCACGAAAAUAAGUGGUCUGUCAUGUUUGGUGGGUACGAAUGUGCUAGCAAUUCUCUGGAUUAGUCGAGGUGCACGAAAGUUGGCUCAGACACCAAAUAACAAAAAAAAAGUUUGAAAACAAAAAGAAACAAAUAUGUGCUUUUUAAUAAUGCAAACUCUAAAAUCCUAAAAUGGGUGUCUAAAUUACAGAUAAAUAACAUGGACUCUUCAUUCACGUAAAAAAAACAAGAGUUAUGUCUUUCACCAUAAAAUAUCACAAAAGAUUGUCAUAAACCAGACCCUUUCAGUAUUUUCGUACUUUGUCAUUAUUUAAGCCUUGUACGUUUCAUAAUUUUGCGACUUCUUAGAAGGAGAGUGUAGGGCAACAAAAUUGAAACUGACCAUCAUGGCAAGUGGCAACUCACAAGAGGAGAAAGACACUCCACUGCCAGGCCCAGACGUCAUCGUUCCAUUGCUCUACGACGUCGUUUUCUUACUUAAAUAACGCCAAUAAUACAUCAAACCUCUACCUUUCAGCACUUGGGUGGAAAAUUCCAUUUUCUUGUCAUACAACUCGCAUCUAUGAAAAUUAAAAAAAAAAAUUGACUAUCUACAGCAGUUGACUAUCUUGACUCUUCCUAUCUACCUUGUAUUAUAAAAACCCCAUUUAGAUUCUUCACAUUUCAUUAAGUUAUUUAAGCUUCUCCUCACUCUUCUCCAAGUGUCUGCUGCCUGAGUAUUAGAAUAUUCAUUUUCUUCACUUUGAAAUUUUGCUAGAAUUUGUAGCACUCAAAUCAAAUCUCACUACUUCACCAACAAUAACAUGAAGGUUAGUGUCUGCUUUUGUGUGUGCUUAAGUUUUGUUCAACAUGCUACAUUUUUUUAUUAUUUUUAAUCGCGGUUUAAUGAAUUUAAUCUUUGUUAAUAUUGCAGAAGGUUGUGAUGAAAAUUGAAUUGCAUGAUGAGAAAGUGAAGCAAAAAGCCAUGAAACUUGUUUCUGGCCUCAAUGGUAAGCACACACACCACAUCAAAUUUUGUAGCAUAUCGUAGGUACCAGUAUGUCUCACUCAGAAGUAGGGUCUGAAGUCUGAACAAGUAUAAAAAUACUCUGCUAAAAAGCUAAUGUUAUUUGUUUUUGUUGAAAUUUCAGGGGUGGAAUCAAUCGCAAUGGAAAUGAAAGACAAGAAACUAACUGUGAUCGGAGAUAUUGAUCCAAUAAAAAUAGCGGCCAAACUCAGGAAGCUCUGUCACACGGAGAUAUUGACAGUUGGACCUGCCAAAGAACCAGAGAAGAAAAAGGAAGAGCCAAAGAAAGACGACGGUAAAAAAGAAGAGGCAAAGAAAGAUGACAGUAAAAAGAAAGAAGAAGCUGUAAAAGCUGCUGUAGUGGCAUUCCCUGGUUUUCAACAGGGUUAUUAUGCUCCCCAGCAAAUGUACCCAGCCUAUUAUCAGCAGCAGCCUUCAGCGCCAACACACUAUUACCAUAAUCUCGCGAGUGUGGAAGAAGAUCCUAAUGCUUGCGUUAUUUGUUAAUUC